rnacentral:rRNA from 1 species
AGGGUUUGAUUAUGGCUCAGGACGAACGCUGGCGGCGUGCCUAAUACAUGCAAGUCGAGCGGAGGUUAUUGAGUAGUAAUACGAGAUGACCUUAGCGGCGGACGGGUGAGUAACGCGUGAGCAACCUGGCCUAUACAGGGGGAUAACAGGGAGAAAUUCCUGCUAAUACCGCAUAAGACCACAGUAUCGCAUGGUACUGGGGUCAAAGGAGAGAUUCGGUAUAGGAUGGGCUCGCGUCCCAUUAGCUAGUUGGGGGUGCAACGGACCACCAAGGCGACGAUGGGUAGCCGACCUGAGAGGGUGAUCGGCCACACUGGGACUGAGACACGGCCCAG